rnacentral:lncRNA from 1 species
CUUAUUCACAAUUAUGCAGCCCUUUAUGGAAGCUUCCUACAGAAAGCCACACAGAGGGAUGCAAGAACCUGGUUUGUCUGGGAUCCUGCCGAGAGGUACCAAUUUAAUGAAAACGAGGAAGCCAGACCACAUCAUAGAAAAAAAAAUCCACGCAAAUUUUCUUCCAGUUAAAAAAGAAAACAAAGGAUGCAUUUAUGAACAUUAUGGGCAUCUCAAUCUAUCACAGGAAUACUUCUGGUAAGAUCUUUAUGUUUUCUAAAACCUGUAUUUUAUCUCAGAUAAUUAUAGCAUGAUUCUUCAAACACAAAAUAAUUGUUUCAUCAUUAUGAAUUAUAAAUAAAAAUAAUGAGAUGCUUAAUUGUGUUUUUAGA